AGAGUUUGAUCCUGGCUCAGGAUGAACGCUAGCUACAGGCUUAACACAUGCAAGUCGAGGGGCAGCAUGAAAGGAACUUCGGUUCUUUUUGAUGGCGACCGGCGCACGGGUGCGUAACGCGUAUCGAACCUGCCUCAUACUCGGGGAUAGCCUUGCGAAAGUAAGAUUAAUACCCGGCGGUCUCGGAUGGCCGCAUGACUAUCCGAGUGAAGAUUUAUCGGUAUGAGAUGGCGAUGCGUCCCAUUAGCUUGUUGGUGAGGUAAUGGCUCACCAAGGCAUCGAUGGGUAGGGGUUCUGAGAGGAAGGUCCCCCACAUUGGAACUGAGACACGGUCCAAACUCCUACGGGAGGCAGCAGUGAGGAAUAUUGGUCAAUGGACGCAAGUCUGAACCAGCCAAGUAGCGUGCAGGAUGACGGCCCUCUGGGUUGUAAACUGCUUUUAGUUGGGAAUAAAAAGAGGGACGUGUCCCUUAUUGUAUGUACCAUCAGAAAAAGGACCGGCUAAUUCCGUGCCAGCAGCCGCGGUAAUACGGAAGGUCCAGGCGUUAUCCGGAUUUAUUGGGUUUAAAGGGAGCGCAGGCGGCGGCGUAAGUCAGUUGUGAAAUCGUGCGGCUUAACCGUGCAAUUGCAGUUGAUACUGCGUCGCUUGAGUGCACACAGGGAUGUUGGAAUUCAUGGUGUAGCGGUGAAAUGCUUAGAUAUCAUGAAGAACUCCGAUCGCGAAGGCAUAUGUCCGGAGUGCAACUGACGCUGAGGCUCGAAAGUGUGGGUAUCAAACAGGAUUAGAUACCCUGGUAGUCCACACAGUAAACGAUGAAUACUCGCUGUUUGCGAUAUACAGUAAGCGGCCAAGCGAAAGCGUUAAGUAUUCCACCUGGGGAGUACGCCGGCAACGGUGAAACUCAAAGGAAUUGACGGGGGCCCGCACAAGCGGAGGAACAUGUGGUUUAAUUCGAUGAUACGCGAGGAACCUUACCCGGGCUUGAACUGCCAGUGACUCAUGCAGAGACGCAUGUUUCUUCGGACACUGGCGGAGGUGCUGCAUGGUUGUCGUCAGCUCGUGCCGUGAGGUGUCGGCUUAAGUGCCAU
rnacentral:rRNA from 1 species